rnacentral:rRNA from 1 species
GACGAACGCUGGCGGCGUGCCUAAUACAUGCAAGUAGAACGCUGAAGGAGGAGCUUGCUUCUCUGGAUGAGUUGCGAACGGGUGAGUAACGCGUAGGUAACCUGCCUGGUAGCGGGGGAUAACUAUUGGAAACGAUAGCUAAUACCGCAUAAUAUUGACUAUUGCAUGAUAGUCAGUUGAAAGGUGCAACUGCACCACUACCAGAUGGACCUGCGUUGUAUUAGCUAGUUGGUGGGGUAACGGCUCACCAAGGCGACGAUACAUAGCCGACCUGAGAGGGUGGUCGGCCAAACUGGGACUGGAAAACGGCCCAGACUCCUGCGGGAGGGAGCCGGAGGGAAUCUUCGGCAAGGGACGGAAGUCUGACCGAGCAACGCCGCGGGAGGGAAGAAGGGUGUCGGAUCGGAAAGCUCUGUUGUAAGAGAAGAACGAGUGUGAGAGUGGAAAGCUCACACUGUGACGGUAUCUUAACAGAAAGGGACGGCUAACUACGUG